CCUACGGGAGUCAGCAGUGGGGAAUAUUGCACAAUGGGGGAAACCCUGAUGCAGCGACGCCGCGUGAGUGAAGAAGUAUUUCGGUAUGUAAAGCUCUAUCAGCAGGGCAGAAAUAGCGACCUUUGGGUCGCCAGACGGUACCUGACUAAGAAGCCCAGGCUAACUACGUGCCAGAAGCCGCGGUAAUACGUAGGGGGCAAGCGUUAUCCGGAUUUACUGGGUGUAAAGGGAGCGUAGACGGAAGAACAAGUCUGAAGUGAAAUGCCGGGGCUUAACCCCGGAACUGCUUUGGAAACUGUGCAGCUAGAGUGCAGGAGAGGUAAGUGGAAUUCCUAGUGUAGCGGUGAAAUGCGUAGAUAUUAGGAGGAACACCAGUGGCGAAGGCGGCUUACUGGACUGUAACUGACGUUGAGGUUCGAAAGCGUGGGGAGCAAACAGGAUUAGAUACCCUUGUAGUC
rnacentral:rRNA from 1 species